rnacentral:lncRNA from 1 species
GAAACAAGGGCACCCCAAAGGAACUGUUAGGAGCAUUGUAGGAGCCCAAUGGCUAUCUCACAUAAUAAUAUCCUUUAAGCCUGUCACUGUUCCCAUGUCUUAUCUACUUACCCAAGAACUGAGACUUCCUAGUAAUGCCCCAGCCCACGAAGAGACCUCUCAGAGGGUGUUACUACAUAAAGAUUGACCGUAGCCUGGCUUGAUGCCCACCACACCUAAAUACCACAAGACCACCUCUUGGUGCCCCUCCUCCCCCGGCUUUGUUCACAGGUUUAUUAGAAUUGCAGGGUUGGGGAUGGAGACAGCUCAGUGAUCAAGAGUGCUUCCUGCUCUUCCAGAGCAUCUAAGAUCAGUUCCGCACACACAUCAGGAGCCUCACAACUACCUCUAAUUCCAUAUCCAGGAGAUCCAGUGCCCUCUCUGGCUUCCAUGGGCACCUGCACUCACAUAUGCAUAUACUCACACACGCACACAUACAUACACAUAAAUAAAAGUCAAUCUUAGAAAGAGUCAAAUGGGCUGGUGAGAUGGCCCAGUGGUUAAGAGCACCCGCUACUCUCCCAGAGAACCUGGGUUUGAUUUCCAGCAUCCACACAGCAGCUCACAACUGUCUGUAACUCCAGUUCCAGGGGAUGCAACGUCCUUUUCUGGCCUCUUCAGACAAAAACAUGCAUGUGCUACACAAACAUACAUACAUACAUUACAUACAUACAUACAAGCACACAUAUACAUAAAACUAAAUAGAAAAAAAGUGUUGUGGAGCUGGUGUACAUUUUAGCUUUAUGCCACAGAAAGGUGCUUGCUCUAUCUAGAUUUGUUAAUCUAGUACAAAUGAGAUCAUCUGUGGCCAUUGCUCUGCCCAGAGCCAUCAUAGAUAGACAUACAAUACAAACACAGUAAGUAAAGGGCUUUGGUGGUUUGUAGCCUCCAGUGCAGCCUUGCCCUUGGGAAUGGGGUGAGGUAACACUGCUGUUCCCUCCUGUCUCACCUCACCUGUUCUGUCUCCCGACCAUCCCGUUCACGCCCAUCUCUCACUAGGGCCUCUCGCUUGUUCCUCUAUAUCUUCCUACAGGCUCCAACACCUAUGAAGAUGCAGCUGCCUACAUCCAAACACAGUUUGAAAGCAAAAACCGCUCACCCAACAAAGAAAUUUACUGUCACAUGACUUGUGCCACAGACACGAAUAAUAUCCAGGUGGUAUUCGACGCCGUCACCGACAUCAUCAUUGCCAACAAUCUCCGGGGCUGCGGCUUGUACUGACCUCUUGUCCUGUAUAGCAACCUAUUUGGUAAUUCCAGCACUCACAGAACAGCUUGUGCACACACACACAUACACGCGCACACACACACAUACAUGCGCGUGCACACACACACACACCACUAACCAGUGCAAGUUGGUAAAUAAACUUUAAAGAGGCAUAACGUAACCUUAUCUAUACACAAGUAUAUAUUAGAAAAAUGUUUUUAGUUAAUACUCAAAAGAGCUGCGGACAGACUGACCACCAUCCCUGGCUCAUCAGUUUUCCUGGGACAGCACAUGAGCAUGCACACAUGUGCAUGCACACACUCACACAGGGCAUGGUGGGAGCCUGGGUUGGCAAUCCUUCCUCUAGAUAUCCCCAGGGCUAUGAGCAGGGCAGGCAGAGGGAGACCUGGUUCUCGACAGCAGCCCCCAAACCCCCUGCAUCCUAAUACAAGGCUACCUGCUCAAUUCUGCCCUGCUCCUUCCCAAAUUCCAAAACCAUUUAAGAAACGGCCAACACUCAAAACAUCCCCCUACCCUCUAGCCACAACAGAGAACUCUUAAGGACCCUUCUCUCUUGGGUGGUGGUUGUUUAUUUCAGGAAUCUAGAAGAAUCAUUGCUCCGAUCAAUCCACUGUCUCCUGAGUUUUCUUUAUUCAUGGGAACAGGGGAAAAUUAGGGAGAUGGGAGACCUGGUCUGCUUUCUCAAAUAAUUGAGGGGAGGGGAUGUGUGAGCCAUUGCCCAAGCUCACCUAGAGUUUAAGCCAGAUUCCCUUGAAGAGGCCCAUGGAUGAGGUGUGAGCGGUUGGGGAGGGCUGGACUGGCAGACCAGGCUAGAAGCAAGGUACAAGGCAGGGCUGGGCUUCCCCUACUGCGGGCUCCCCACUGUGCCCCACCACCUGCACUAGUUAAAUGUUCUAGGUUGGUUGGUUGGUUGGUUGGUUUGUAAAGUCAAAGAAAAUGGUCAGACUGGCCCCUAUCUCUCUCUCUACAGACUGCUUCAUGGACUCUUUGCUGUUGAUGUUGAUCUCCUGGUAGCAUGACCUUUGGCCUUUGUAAGACACACAGCCUUUCUGUACCAAGCCCCUGUCUAACCUACGACCCCAGAGUGACUGACGGCUGUGUAUUUCUGUAGAAUGCUGUAGAAUACAGUUUUAGUUGAGUCUUUACAUUUAGAACUUGAAAGGAUUUUAAAAAACAAAACAAAAACCAUUUCUCAUGUGCUUUGUAGCUUUAAAAGAAAAAAGGAAAACUCACCAUUUAAUCCAUAUUUCCUUUUUAUUUUGAAGUUUAAAAAAAAAAUGUCUGUACCCACACCCUCCCCCUUCCCCACCUCAGCAGAACUGGGGCUGGCACACAGAGGCAGUGCUGGGCCUGGCGCCUCCCAGGGCUUCUGUGCAGCCCAUGGCUGGUGGGAACAUGUCAGGCUAGUCUGUCUAGAAGGCCACUGGCCACUGUACCCACCCUUCCCCAUGCCUGUGGGCUGCCCAGACACCUCAUAUACCACCAGGCAGUGGCAGCUCCGCCCUGCUCAGCCACGCGACUCCAAACACACUCAAAGUUUGCGUAGAAAAAGCACAGCUCUGGCAGGGGUAGCUGCCACAGACAACGCUCAUCACCUAUAGAAAUCCAGCCCUAUAGAAGCAAUUCACCCAGCCCCUUCCUACACUCCCUUUGUGUUGUUAACUUUUUGGUUUUUCUGGUCCUAGUGAGUGCCUCCCAUGCAUACCUGACCAGCUCUGCCAGUGUCUGGGGUCUGGGGAACAGGGGUUGUGUGGUUUGGUUUUUGUUUUUGUUUUUCCUUUAACAUCACAGCCUCUGGCCUUGGGCAGAAGCCCUCCCCUGUGUGUGGCCCCCUCUCCUCUCUGUUCCAGUGACCUGUGUUCCCUCGCUCUCAUGUUGGGAUGUUUGUGCUGCAGAUAAAAAGAACAAAAAAAAUAAAGUUUUUAAAUACCACAAGAUGGAAGAAAAACAAAAAAAAAAUUAAAAAGAUGGAAUGUAGUGUUUACAUUAAAGCCAGUUUUCAUGAUCAGUCCCAUGUCAUUUCUACUUGACUAGUAUCUAACCCCAGACCUGUUCAUGGUUUCACUUUUAAGACAAUAUUUACUGAAGACCAGUCACAGCCAUUUCAAUAAAGGAGGCGAAAGACAAAACACAAAAAAUUUAAAAAUAC